AUGAACGCUGGCGGCGUGCCUAAUACAUGCAAGUCGAGCGAACGGACGAGAAGCUUGCUUCUCUGAUGUUAGCGGCGGACGGGUGAGUAACACGUGGAUAACCUACCUAUAAGACUGGGAUAACUUUGGGAAACCGGAGCUAAUACCGGAUAAUAUUUUGAACCGCAUGGUUCAAAAGUAAAAGACGGUCUUGCUGUCACUUAUAGAUGGAUCCGCGCUGCAUUAGCUAGUUGGUAAGGUAACGGCUUACCAAGGCAACGAUGCAUAGCCGACCUGAGAGGGUGAUCGGCCACACUGGAACUGAGACACGGUCCAGACUCCUACGGGAGGCAGCAGUAGGGAAUCUUCCGCAAUGGGCGAAAGCCUGACGGAGCAACGCCGCGUGAGUGAUGAAGGUCUUCGGAUCGUAAAACUCUGUUAUUAGGGAAGAACAUAUGUGUAAGUAACUGUGCACAUCUUGACGGUACCUAAUCAGAAAGCCACGGCUAACUACGUG
rnacentral:rRNA from 1 species